GUUUUCGUGGCCUAGUGGUUAGGGCGUCUGUCUUACAGAAAGGGCUUCUGGCCCUGAAGAUCACAGAAGAUCCCCGGUUCAAUCCCGGGCGGAAACA